ACCAUUUUUUCUUUUAAAUGUUGAUGUUUACACAUUUCCUAAAUUGUGGAGAAAGGUGAUUUCCCAAAUAAAGGCAGCAAUCGGUUUGCAAGACCUCAAAUUCGCUCACUGAUGGUGAAUUUUUGCUGUCUCUAAAAAUAUUCAAAAAAGAGUGUCGACGAUCUGAGGGUCAUCCCAGAAACUCCACAUCAUGUCCUGAACUGAAACCUCUCCAGAGAAGCAUGUCACCACCAAGAAGUGAAGAAAAACUAAACUGCAAAUGAAAGCAGAAUUAGGUUUCAGAAAAAGAAGUUGGAAGAUGCAAGGAAAGAGAAGCCGUUUUUUCCAUGUUGGAAAGAGGAGAGGAGCAACUGCUGUAAGUGGCAUGACUGAGAGGCACGUGUGUGUGAAUACACGCCUCCACCCGGGCCGCCGCUGUCUGGCUCCACAUCCCGUGCCCUUGGAUUUAGAGCCUUCGGGUCCCCCUGCUUGCUCCUGGCAAACACCCCACCCUGCAGUGCCAUCUAGGUGGGAAAUGUUCCCGCACAGCAACUCAUUCUGCUUCCAGUCUCAGCUGCCGCUCCGCUAGCUCCUACCACAGUCUUGGCAGUCAUGUCCUGAAACUAUUUUUAUAUACCGGAUCACUUUUCGCGAAUUUGUUUUUGAGGAAAAG